GAUGAACGCUAGCUACAGGCUUAACACAUGCAAGUCGAGGGGUAACGAGAGGAAAGCUUGCUUUCCUUGUCGACGACCGGCGCACGGGUGAGUAACGCGUAUCCAACCUGCCCCCAACUAGGGAAUAACCUUGCGAAAGUAAGACUAAUACCCUAUAAUUUCCUCAGAUGUUAUCUGACGAGGAAUAAAGAUUUAUCGGUUGUGGAUGGGGAUGCGUCUGAUUAGCUUGUUGGCGGGGUAACGGCCCACCAAGGCAACGAUCAGUAGGGGUUCUGAGAGGAAGGUCCCCCACAUUGAAACUGAGACACGGUCCAAACUCCUACGGGAGGCAGCAGUGAGGAAUAUUGGUCAAUGGGCGGAAGCCUGAACCAGCCAAGUAGCGUGCAGGAUGACGGCCCUAUGGGUUGUAAACUGCUUGUAUACAGGAAUAAAGUUAGCCACGUGUGGUUAUUUGUAGGUACUGUAUGAAUAAGGACCGGCUAAUUCCGUGCCAGCCGCCGCCGUAA
rnacentral:rRNA from 1 species